rnacentral:tRNA from 2 species
GUUCACGUGACGCAGUGGUAGCGUGAAAGAUUGCAAAUCUUUAAGUCCUUGGUUCGAAUCCGAGCGUGAACU